GCAGAGUUUCGAGCGCCGCUUCCUGGCGGCGCGCACGCUGCGCUCCUUCCCCUGGCAGGGGGGCGGCGGGCGAGCGGAGAGGCCCGCGGGGCUCGCGGGAGUCCAGGGGCAGACGGGAUGGGUCUCCGUGCUGAAACCCCCGGCGCUCCUGCCACAGCUUAGAAGCAAAGUUAAGAGACUCAUCAGAUUCUGAGCUGCUGCGGGAUAUUUUGCAGAAGACUGUGAAGCAUCCUGUGUGUGUGUGAAGCACCCGCCGUCAGUCAAGAAAGCCCGGUGCUUUCUCUCAGAACUCAUCAAAAAGCACGAGGCUGUCCACAUGGAGGCUUUGGACGAGCUGUAUGAGGCACUGGCAGAGACCCUGAUGGCCAAGGAGUCCACCCAGGGCCACCGGAGUUAUUUGCUGACGUGCUGUAUUGCCCAGAAGCCAUCGUGUCGCUGGUCGGGAUCCUGCGGAGGCUGGCUGCCUGCUGGGAGCACCAGCAGUCUCCUGAGGUCUACGUGGCCUUUACCGUCCACAACCCAGAGACGUGCCAGCUGUUCACCACCGAGCUAGGCCUGUCCUAGCAGCCCCACACAAAACGCUCACGUCCUGUCCCCAAACACCGCCAUCCUCAAGCACGUGCUCUGUUUCCAGGCCGGGCUGGGAUCAUAUGGGAAGCGGAAGCUCAUCAUGACCAGAAACUGUUUCCCUAUGGAGAGCACUUGGAGAUGGCAAUGCUGAACCUCACACUGUAGGACUCACACACGACUCCAACGGGAUUGUGAGAAUCAAGUCAAUCUCAUGGGAAGAAUUUUUAUAUGGGAAAGCGGAUAAAACUUUCAUUG
ensembl:lncRNA FAM86DP family with sequence similarity 86 member D, pseudogene